rnacentral:lncRNA from 1 species
AGUAUCUAGAUUAGUGUUUGAUUGCCAUGGGAUAAAAACCUUGGGGAGCAGCAUCUUUGGAAUUCUGCCUGCCACAUCUUUGGUUCUGGUCACUUUAAUAUUUCUACACAAGAUGAGAAAACUGAUGCUCAGCACGAGCUGGGAUCCAAGUCCACCUAUAUCUGACAGUUACGUGCUGCUAUGCUGCCCCUGAAUGUCUCUACGCUAGAUGCCUUACAUAUAUCAUUUGAUGCUCACAACAACUCUUUGAGCAGAGGAUACUGGAGGAAGAGGCUGAGGUGUUCCCAGGUCCGCUAUGGAAGAAGGGAUCAUCAUAGCCAACUUGGCAAUAAGGCCAUAGCAAUGGAGAAGACAGUGUUCACACCUACAUCUAAGUUUUCUGAUAACUUCCAAUGCAAAUGAAGUGAAAAUAGGAAAGAGAGACUACAUCUAUGAAAGGGAAUGAGGAAAGAGGAGGCCUAAACAGUAGCCCCUGUCUGGGAAGAACUAAAGACAGACCUCAAUGAAAUGUAUCAAAGAAGUCCUUACUGCAUGUUUGUGAAGCCUCUAGAAGAUACUAGUGUGUGUCCUAAUGAAGCAUCAUCC